rnacentral:tRNA from 1 species
CAAGAAAAGGUCAGGAUAGCUCAGUUGGUAGAGCAGAGGACUGAAAAUCCUCGUG